rnacentral:rRNA from 1 species
UAGUCAGGACCUAAGCCGAGGCCGACAGGCGUAGGCGAUGGACAACAGGUUGAUAUUCCUGUACCACCUCUUUAUCGUUUGAGCAAUGGAGGGACGCAGAAGGAUAGAAGAAGCGUGCGAUUGGUUGUGCACGUCCAAGCAGUUAGGCUGAUAAGUAGGCAAAUCCGCUUAUCGCGUAUGCUGAGCUGUGAUGGGGAAGCUCCUUAUGGAGCGAAGUCUUUGAUUCCCCGCUGCCAAGAAAAGCUUCUAGCGAGAUAAAAGGUGCCUGUACCGCAAACCGACACAGGUAGGCGAGGAGAGAAUCCUAAGGUGUGCGAGAGAACUCUGGUUAAGGAACUCGGCAAAAUGACCCCGUAACUUCGGGAGAAGGGGUGCUUUCUUAACGGAAAGCCGCAGUGAAUAGGCCCAAGCGACUGUUUAGCAAAAACACAGCUCUCUGCGAAGCCGUAAGGCGAAGUAUAGGGGGUGACACCUGCCCGGUGCUGGAAGGUUAAGGAGAGGGGUUAGCGUAAGCGAAGCUCUGAACUGAAGCCCCAGUAAACGGCGGCCGUAACUAUAACGGUCCUAAGGUAGCGAAAUUCCUUGUCGGGUAAGUUCCGACCCGCACGAAAGGUGUAACGAUUUGGGCACUGUCUCAACCAGAGACUCGGUGAAAUUAUAGUACCUGUGAAGAUGCAGGUUACCCGCGACAGGACGGAAAGACCCCGUGGAGCUUUACUGUAGCCUGAUAUUGAAUUUUGGUACAGUUUGUACAGGAUAGGCGGGAGCCAUUGAAACCGGAGCGCUAGCUUCGGUGGAGGCGCUGGUGGGAUACCGCCCUGACUGUAUUGAAAUUCUAACCUACGGGUCUUAUCGACCCGGGAGACAGUGUCAGGUGGGCAGUUUGACUGGGGCGGUCGCCUCCUAAAGUGUAACGGAGGCGCCCAAAGGUUCCCUCAGAAUGGUUGGAAAUCAUUCGUAGAGUGCAAAGGCAUAAGGGAGCUUGACUGCGAGACCUACAAGUCGAGCAGGGACGAAAGUCGGGCUUAGUGAUCCGGUGGUUCCGCAUGGAAGGGCCAUCGCUCAACGGAUAAAAGCUACCCCGGGGAUAACAGGCUUAUCUCCCCCAAGAGUCCACAUCGACGGGGAGGUUUGGCACCUCGAUGUCGGCUCAUCGCAUCCUGGGGCUGUAGUCGGUCCCAAGGGUUGGGCUGUUCGCCCAUUAAAGCGGUACGCGAGCUGGGUUCAGAACGUCGUGAGACAGUUCGGUCCCUAUCCGUCGUGGGCGUAGGAAAUUUGAGAGGAGCUGUCCUUAGUACGAGAGGACCGGGAUGGACGCACCGCUGGUGUACCAGUUGUUCUGCCAAGGGCAUAGCUGGGUAGCUAUGUGCGGAAGGGAUAAGUGCUGAAAGCAUCUAAGCAUGAAGCCCCCCUCAAGAUGAGAUUUCCCAUAGCGUAAGCUAGUAAGAUCCCUGAAAGAUGAUCAGGUUGAUAGGUUCGAGGUGGAAGCAUGGUGACAUGUGGAGCUGACGAAUACUAAUAGAUCGAGGACUUAACCAU